rnacentral:lncRNA from 1 species
CACAAAUUGGGUGUCAUUGAAGAUAUUGCUACUCACAUUUUUUUUUUUAUUACUAAACAAGAUUGAUAUUUUGUCUUUAACACAACUACAGCAGAAAGUUCCUGGAUAUGUGGAUAUAUGUAUUUUUCACCCUUUUGCUAAUUUGUUUUUUCCGACAUCAAUUUGAAUUUAUUUUCUGUUAAUUCUUAUAUGGGCUCUCUUGCAACAGACUAUGCUCCCCUAGUGGAGUGUGCCCACAGUUUGAAAAACUCUGUCUUAUAUUAUGCAAGCAAUGAUGAGCAAACUAUUAUAUUAUAUCAUUAUGCACUAAUUAAAUCCUCAGAUGCAAGUUAUAAACUUCAUUGUAGUGGAAUUCCAUACUAUAUAAAGUCACAGCAAGCAAGAUAUAUCUAUAGUAAUAGGACUGACAUUCAAAAUAUUUAACAACUGGUAUGAUAUAUGGUUAUAUAUAUAUAUAUAUGUAGG